AUUUCUUGCAAAGCACCGAAACGGGCUUGGUCGGGGUUUCUUUAUUAUUAUUAUUAUUAUCCUCCCCGUUGCCCCGAAGAAGGUUAAGGCAUAUUUUUGGCAACCAUUACAAGUAAGGCUGCAAAAGACCUCCAUAAAGGGCAAUUCACAUCACAUGACACUUUCUGUUAACAUGAAGACGUAAAAUCCGGGGUACUUUUACCAUUCUUCGACCAAAUGACCAAAGCACCCCUGCUGCUUCUCACGAAAUAGCCAUGGAAGAUGGAGCUGCCUUUCAGCCAUGAAAGUGGACCACCCAAAAGUAGUAGCAAUAUUUGACCAAAGGGUCAAAGCUGAAAGCCCCAUUCAUGUACAGUACUGAUUGCAUUUGGCCCCAUAAUUUCUCUAGACCCUAUGGAAGAAGAGAAGCUGGUUAAGGUAACUCCCUAGAAUCCACAAACGAAUGUUAGGCCUAGCUAGAAGCACCGUUGUGGAGGUUUUCGGUGGCUGUCUCGAGAAAUUUAACCUCGACCCUGGUGCCUGUUUGGUCAGGAGUCUCUUAGUCUUAAAUAAUUUGUACACAACUUUAAUAAACUAGGGGGGGAUGAUGCAUUAAAAAAUAAUUACUUUGCUUAAGUCAUGGAUCCCGACAUGGAGAAGGGUAAUAGUGGAAUUUUGAAAAGAAGAUAUAGAGGAGGCAUGGAAAAAGGAAGAAAGAGGACAGAGAUUGCUUGCGCAAAUCUAGCUAAUCUGGGCUUCUGAUACAAGCAAGUGAAGUGAAGUGAAUGGAGGGUGUUGAGGCAGAGAAGUGCAUGCUACUACAACCAAGAAUCCCAUGUUGAAAACCGUACAAAAAAAAAAACACACACCACUCUCUUUACUUCUUGGCCACAUUAUGUUUUAGACAAGACUCUCGCUAACUAUUGUAGCCAGUAAGUAGAUGUACUCGCGAGGCAAAGCCCUCAUGUUUUCAGCUUCUUUGCACCAUCGCAUUCCUUCUUUAUAUCUUUUUAAGAUAGGACAAGGAGAACCCGUCAAGGGCUUUUCUCAGAGGACAGAAGAAAUUAGAAGAGAAAACGUACAGACAACCAAUCCCAUGUCCAUGGUUUUGCUGCUGGUGGUGGUGGUGGUGGUGGUGGUGGUGGUGCUUCUUCUGCGGGUGGAACAUGGUUAGGGAUGUUGGUGCUGUAUUUACUUGGGGCACUGAGGCAUGUGUGGCCUUUGUCAUGAGAAUAUUUGCUAAGCAAAUGGGAGUUUUAGGCUUGAGUAGCAGCUGGUCUGGAUACACAAGAAAAAUCAUUUCUUCUGUCCAAUCAUUGCAAAAAACUCUCUUCUUCUUCUUCUUUUUCGUCUUCUGCUUCCUUGGCUUUUGGUAAAUGGUGUCGGGGUUUGGUGGUGAUAUUGGCUAGAAGGCUCAAUCUCUCUAUUGUUAUGAUAAAGGACUACUUCCUAAUCUCUUGCUUUCACUUUUGUUACUAGCUUUUCUUUGUAUUUCUUCUUUGGCUGAUGAUAUUGUUGAUAUGUAAUUGGCAUCCAAAUGUUCUUGUGGAAGUGCAACAACAAGUUAAUUGGCAUGGUACCUUUUGAUUAUUAUUUCUUCCAAGCAUACUAGCUGUCUGAUGUUCCAAGUUUUGUGCCUAAUUGACUGCUCGUUCAAGCAUAGAACAAACCCCCAUAGAGAAAGGGGAGAGAAUUUAAUUGCAGCAAAUGGAGGGCACCUAACUCAACAAAUUCGGUGAGUAGAGCUUUAAAAUCUCAGGGUCCCCUAAAGCUACAGACUUCAAUGUUUCAGCACUGUUUCGUUGUCAGUCUUUGCUUCUGUCCCUUUUGUUAAUUAAUUUUUCUCGGGAAAUGUAGGGGCUUGAUAGUUGUAGUAUAUGUUCAAAUCCUCAAGGAAUUGUUAUGUCACCUUCAUCCAUGUGUACAUACAAUCGAGGAAAAACAUCAGUUAUAUAGUAAAAUUUAUUAAUGACAUUUCCCCUUGCAUGA